GGGUAGUUUGACUGGGGCGGUCUCCUCCUAAAGAGUAACGGAGGAGCACGAAGGUUGGCUAAUCCUGGUCGGACAUCAGGAGGUUAGUGCAAUGGCAUAAGCCAGCUUGACUGCGAGCGUGACGGCGCGAGCAGGUGCGAAAGCAGGUCAUAGUGAUCCGGUGGUUCUGAAUGGAAGGGCCAUCGCUCAACGGAUAAAAGGUACUCCGGGGAUAACAGGCUGAUACCGCCCAAGAGUUCAUAUCGACGGCGGUGUUUGGCACCUCGAUGUCGGCUCAUCACAUCCUGGGGCUGAAGUAGGUCCCAAGGGUAUGGCUGUUCGCCAUUUAAAGUGGUACGCGAGCUGGGUUUAGAACGUCGUGAGACAGUUCGGUCCCUAUCUGCCGUGGGCGCUGGAGAACUGAGGGGGGCUGCUCCUAGUACGAGAGGACCGGAGUGGACGCAUCACUGGUGUUCGGGUUGUCAUGCCAAUGGCACUGCCCGGUAGCUAAAUGCGGAAGAGAUAAGUGCUGAAAGCAUCUAAGCACGAAACUUGCCCCGAGAUGAGUUCUCCCUGACCCUUUAAGGGUCCUGAAGGAACGUUGAAGACGACGACGUUGAUAGGCCGGGUGUGUAAGCGCAGCGAUGCGUUGAGCUAACCGGUACUAAUGA
rnacentral:rRNA from 1 species